GCUCCGGUGGCCCAAGUGGUUAGAGCUUCCGCAUCGGAUGCAGGAGGUCGCGGGUUCGAACCCUGACCGAGUCA